rnacentral:misc_RNA from 1 species
AAGAAGAAGGAGAAGAAGAAGAAGCGGAGACUUUGGCCAUCCGCGUUUCAAUCAAUCAACUCCCAAUCUCUGGGCAAGCUGUAACAAAUUAUUGGACCCAGACCGCAUGGUUAAAAAUCUUUUUCCACAAUAAAAAGAAAACAAAUUGGAUUUUUUUAUCAUUUUAAAUUAAAUUUUAGUAAUGUAUUAAUGAUAAUUAUUAAUAAACUUUUAUUUUAGAAAAAAAAAAUAUUAU